ACCAAAAAGCAAGAACGCUGCCAGGUGGAUGACUAGGCUUCAGCGCUGAUGAAGGACGUGGCAAGCUGCGAUAAGCUCCGGCGAGCUGCAUGCAAGCAUUGAACCGGAGAUCUCUCAAUGGGAUUCCCAUCAGGCCGAUAGGCAGGGAACGUGGGGAAUUGAAACGUCUGAGUACCCACAGGAGAAGAAACCAAUUGGGAUGCGGUGAGUAAGGGCGACUGAAAACCGCGCAGGGCAAACUGAAUCCUUUGGUGAAAGCCAGGGGAGAUGUGGUGUUUUGGCUCAUCAUAACGUCCGUGCUUUCUGACACGAAGUUCCCUGGAACGGGAUGCUACAGAGGGUGAUAGCCCCGUAGUGGAAGGAAAGCGUGGAUGGGAUGCGGCCAGAGUAGGGCUCCUCGGAUAUGGGGCCUGAAUUUGGGGGGCAUCAACCUCCAACCCUAAAUACGACUGAAGACCGAUAGCGUACGAGUACCGUGAGGGAACGUUGAAAAGAACCCCCGCAAGGGAGUGAAAAGAGCCUGAAACCUGGUAGCUAUAGUUUGAUACGGCCUUUAGGGGUUGUAUCGUGCGUUUCGAAUAACGUGCCAGGGAGUUUACUUCUGUGGCGAGGAUAACUGCCUUAAGGCAGGCAUCCGCAGGGAAACCGAUAAGCCCGCAACCGCAAGGUGAGGGGCAGGGCGUGAAAGCGUCCGGAGUCACAGGGGUCAGACCCGAAGCCAGACGAUCUAGUCCGGGGCAUGGUGAAGCGCGGGUAAAACCGCGUGGAGGCCAGAAGCAGUGCUACGUGCAAGUGCAUGCGUGACCUUGGAUUAGGGGUAAAAAGCCAAUCGAGUCUGGUGAUAGCUGGUUCCUGCCGAAAUUGGCCUAAGUCAAGCCUCAGCUGAGGAGGGUGCGGUGGUAGAGAUACGGAUUGGGGAUUUAGGGCUUUAACCGGCUCGGUCCUUUGUCCAACUCCGAAUGCCGCACCUCUGUAGACGCUGGGAGACGGGGGCCCGGGGUAAACUUGGGUCCCGAGAGGGGAACAACCCAGAGCACAGUUAAGGUCCCAAAAUAGUGGCUAAGUGUGAAAGGCAUAAGGGUGUCUAUGGUCGAAGACAGCGAGGAGGUUAGCUUAGAAGCAGCUACCCUUGAAAAAGUGCGUAACAGCUUACUCGUCAAGAUCAUAGGCCCCGUAAAUGGACGGGGCAAAGCCACUUACCGAUACUGUGCCAUCGCCACAAGCGAUGGGUAGGCAGGCGUCCUGCAAGGGCAGAAGCGUGUCUGUGAAGAUACGUGGACCUUGUUGGAAUGAGAAUCCUGGUGGUAGUAGGAUCGGAGCAAGGUGAGAUUCCUUGUCGCCGAAAGGGCAAGGGUUCCUUGGCAAUGUCGAUCAGCCAAGGGUUAGUCGGCCCUAACCGACCUCCUAACUGGAGGGUGUGAGGAAAGGGAGACUGGUUAAUAUUCCAGUACUGUGAGAGUAUGCGUGGUGACACAAGCUGCGUCGCAGACGCUUUGGGCUAGGCGGACAGAACUUGUCUGUUCUGCUAACACGUGCAGGCCUGGGGAGUAACGUAAUGUUGAGAACCAGGGCAACGCGUGGAAUGGCACCCCUGAGGGUGUUUCGCUGAUGUCGGGAGCCCGUGAAAACGUGACGUGGAAAAAUCUCUUACAACCGUACCAAGAACCAGCACUGGUGCCCCUGGGUGGGAAGCUCAAGGUGUGAAGGCAUAAUCCAGUUGAGGGAAUUCGGCAAACUAGCCCCGUGUCUUAGGUCGAAGGGGUCCCUGAGUUGGUACCGGAAUAGGUGCCUUCUCAGGGCGCAGUGACUAGGAUGGUCCGACUGUUUAACAAAAACGCAGCGAACUGCAAGCCCGUAAGGGUGUGUACAGUUCGUGACGUCUGCCCAGUGUCAGUACCUAAAACCCGGGUCCAACCGGGCUAAGGGCUGGUAAACGGCGGGAGUAACUAUAACUCUCUUAAGGUGAAGCGUUGCCUUAGUAAAAUUCGGCUAUAUGCUGGAACAUCCGUGUAUCCCGCAUUACCACUGGACAACCAUCCAUAACGAUUAUUACAGGGGUUGUUGUCAGGGUGACAAAAUGACGGGUGCGGACAAUCAGCAGGAAAGGCUAGAUGCCCGAUGGAUUGCAGGAUUCGUGGACGGCGAAGGAUGCUUCCACGUUGCGAUCAACAAGCUCGACAAGAUGACGAGAGGUUACCAGGUAUUGCCGGAACUUCGCAUUGUCCAGAACAAGCGCGAUAUGCGGUUAUUGCACCGCAUUCAGCAGGUUCUGGGUGGCGUGGUCCGGCAUAACCAUGAUGACAUCUACGAAGUCAGAGUACGAAGACUUGAGGAAUUGCAGCGGGUCGUGGAUUUUUUCCGCAGGUAUCCAUUACAGUCCCAGAAGCGACAUGAUUUUUCAUGCUUCGCUGAGAUUGUCGGAAUGAUGGCGCGACGCCAGCAUUUGACGGUCGAGGGAUUGGAAAAGAUUCGCAAUAUACGAGAUCGUAUGAACAGGGCGUCUGGAAUCCUCAGAGACUGCACGCCGAACCUCCGCAAGGGGGAUGAUACAGUCCGAACCGUCAGGCGACUGGCGGAGGCAUGAUGAAAGUCAUGUCCGCCACAGUGAUGUGGUCAGUAACCCGCAAGGGUGAAGUAACAGUUUGAACGAAAUGCCUUGCCGUUUGAAUGACGGCCUGCAUGAAUGGCGUAACGAGAUCGUCGCUGUCCCCAACUGGAAGCCUCCGAACACUACAUUUGUGGUGCAAAGUCCACAGACCGCUAGUGGGAAGUGAAGACCCCGUGAAACUUUACUGUAUCCUGUAGCUGCGUGACGAGUGUUGCUGUGUAGCGUAGAUGGGAGUCGCCGAAGCUUGAUCGUCAGGUCAGGUGGAGACAACGAUGAAACACCAUCCUGCUUCGCUUGCCAUGCUUUACUCGCAUGCGAGGACACCUAUAGGUGGACAGUUUGGCUGGGGUGGCACCCUGCUGAAAAGGUAUCAGCAGGGCCCAAAGGUCGGCUCAGGCAGGUCAGAAAUCUGCCGUUGAGUGCAAGGGCAUAAGCCGGCCUGACUGGAACUGUAACAUGAUCAGGUCCAGGCGCGAGAGCGUGGCCUAGCGAACUCCCGCACCUCCUUGAUGGGGGUCGGGAAUGACCGAAAAGUUACUCCGGGGAUAACAGAGUUGUCGCGCCCGAGAGCUCACAUCGACGGCGCGGUUUGCUACAUCGAUGUCGGCUCAUCCUAUCCUGGCCGUGCAGAAGCGGCCAAGGGUGUGGGUGUUCACCAAUUAAAAGGGUUCGUGAGCUGGGUUCAGAACGCUGUGAGGCAGUUUGUUUAAUAUCUACUAGCGGUGUUGGGCGUCUGAGAGGAAGGAUCUUCUAGUACGAGAGGAACGAAGGUUCGCGGCCUCUGGUUUACCGGUUAGCUGACAAGCUAUGCCGGGCAGCUACGCCGUAGCUGAUAAGGGCUGAAAGCAUCUAAGCCCGAAGCAGCCCCCGAAAAGAGACGCUCUGGGAUACGGACAACAACAUCCGGUUGAUGGAGCCGGUGUGUACGCACGAAGCUUCGGCGACGUGUUCAGCACGCGGCAACCAAUAAUCCUUCGCUUUUGGUGC
rfam:Candidatus Woesearchaeota archaeon CG1_02_57_44 cg1_0.2_scaffold_6682_c, whole genome shotgun sequence.